ACAAGAAGUAUUGUCACUAAAAAAUUUGGUUGUUGUUUUGCGCAACUGGCAAAUCUUUCUAUCAAGGUUAGAUCGCCUCAGUCUGUGACCAAUAAUUUUCAAUCGCUAAUCCAUGAUUUUCUGAUAGUGAAGCUCGCAAGUGGUUAGCGAAAUUGUCUUCAUCCAUUUAUCCUGUUGCUCCUCAUUUUGAUUACCGAUGCCAAAAUCGUUUCGGGCCACUCCAAUUUGAUUUACAUAUACAAAGAUCUCGCUUAUGUGUUUGUCAGUGGUAUUUUCUUUGGUCUCGCCGGGGUGACCUCUUUGCCGUUUUUCUCAGUUUAUCGGUGAUACAGACCAAGGAUCCAAAGUGGUUCUUCUUCUAUCCAUAGGAUCGAAAGUAUCCAAACAGGCAUCGAUUGAAUAAGAUAUAAAUAAUGGGUAUUGGAAGACAACUAUGAAGGAAUGGAAAAUCAACUAUGGGACGAAUUAGAUUGGAAUGAAGAAGACUUUGGUGUUCUGCGGUGGUGGUGCACCCAAAGGGAACAUGACCAUUCGGGUUAUGCAUGAGUAUGACCUUACUUUGAAGGAGCUUGGUGGUACCAAUCCUGGGCAGGUUUAUAGGGACACUCUAUGUUGAUAAUUAAAAAAACAUAGUGAUACUCUGCUACAAUUUACAAUUAGUUAAGGAAUUAUAUAUAUAAAGUGGUGAUGAUUUCUUUAUUAGUGUUAGUGAUUUUAAAUUGGGGUUGAAGGGCUCUAUUGUAGGUUUCGAAUUCUACAAAGGAUUCUUAAUUGUCAUGAUGUUUCUCGGACCGUUAAAGGAUAUUUCUCUUUAACUUAGGUAAGUUUGUCCAUUUUUAACUUUUCACUUUCUCUAAUUUCUAAUUUGUUUUUUGGGUUUAUUAUGGUUUAUGAAAGGAUGAAAGGUUGAGUGAAUUUCAUCAGCCUAGCGUAUGGAAAUCUAUAAUUUAUUUCUUUUAUUUUACAAGGGGAGAGGUUAUUUAAAAUCCAACAUUAAGAUUGUUUAAACUAGUCGCAACAACUCCCAUGCUACAAUAUUUCUCAGUUUGUGGGAGAAGAACAUGGAAGGUUUGGACUAAACUCUUUUCUUCAGUCAUCUCAGUUUGUUGGAGAGGAAAAAGGAAGCUUUGGACUUUUCUUCAUUCAUCUUAGUCAUUCGGAUCGGUGAAGGGAAGCUUUGAAUUUUUCUUCAUUUAUCUCAAUCUGUAGGAGAGCAAAAGCAAAGCUUUGGUUUAAAUUCUUUUCUUCAUUCAACUUCAUUCAUUUGAAGCUUUGGAUUAGACUCUUUUUUAUCGUUCAUCUCAAUCCAUCAGAUAGAAAAAGGAAAACUUUGGAUUAAACUCUUUCCUUCAGUCAAAUUAAAUGCAUUCAUUUGUGUGUAUCCUAUUGCCUAUCAUCAUCAUCAUUUUUUUUUAACUUGCCGAUUUUUUUAGAAACAUCUGACAGCUUUUUAUUUCAAUCGAUUGUAUUGAAUUGGAUUUCUCUCUCAAAUAAAAGAUUAGGAAAUAUUUUAUUUUCAGUUAACAUUGUAAGUUAG